AACGAACGCUGGCGGCAUGCCUAACACAUGCAAGUCGAACGAUGCUUUCGGGCAUAGUGGCGCACGGGUGCGUAACGCGUGGGAAUCUGCCCUUGGGUUCGGAAUAACAGUGAGAAAUUGCUGCUAAUACCGGAUGAUGUCUUCGGACCAAAGAUUUAUCGCCGAAGGAUGAGCCCGCGUAGGAUUAGCUAGUUGGUGGGGUAAUGGCCUACCAAGGCGACGAUCCUUAGCUGGUCUGAGAGGAUGAUCAGCCACACUGGGACUGAGACACGGCCCAGACUCCUACGGGAGGCAGCAGUGGGGAAUAUUGGACAAUGGGCGCAAGCCUGAUCCAGCAAUGCCGCGUGAGUGAUGAAGGCCUUAGGGCUGUAAAGCUCUUUUACCCGGGAUGAUAAUGACAGUACCGGGAGAAUAAGCUCCGGCUAACUCCGUG
rnacentral:rRNA from 1 species